UUUUAAGAAAGGUCAUGCUCAACUCAACUGAGUCUUGAUCCCAAACUAGUUAGGUUGACUAUAUGGAUCUUUUUCCUUCACUCCACCAGUUUAAAGGCUACAUCUUUAGGAGGUCUGGGGCUGCUAUGUUCUUCCUAACUGCUUCCCCAAUCUCAUCUUAGUGCUGCCCCUCCCUUCUGUACUGGAAUAUUUGCUAGUGAUCUAGUCUAUGAUGCACAUGUCUAAACCAUCUCAAUCUCCCUUCUUUCAUUGUUUCCUCAAAAGGCACUGCUUUACUUUCCUAUGGAUGUAUUCAUUCCUUAUCUAAUCCAUUUUUAUAUUUAUAUGCAUCUGUGUUAACAUCAUCAUUGCUAAAGCACUGAUCUUUUAUGCAUAUUGUGUUUUACCACCCAACAUUCACUGCCAUGUACUGGUUGAUUCCUGGUCCUAUAAAACUUACCCUUGAACUUGGUGGUUAUUUUGCAAUCAUAUAAGACUCUUGUUACACUCUGCCACUUCAUCCAUCCUGCUGUAAUUUUAUUAUUGACAUCCUUCCUACUUCCCUCAUUUUCUUUGUAGGAUUAAAUCUAGAUAUUUGAAAUGUGCGCUUUGUGGCACCUCUGCUGCAUCCAAGCGAACCCUGCAUUGAUCACUU
rnacentral:misc_RNA from 1 species